rnacentral:rRNA from 1 species
AAGCUCAAUUUGAAUCUGGCGCAAGCCCGAGUUGUAAUUUACAGAGGAUGCUUCGAUAUUGGACGCUGACCUAAGUUUUCUGGAACGGAACGUCAUAGAGGGUGAGAACCCCGUGAGUGGUCGGUGCUCCUAAUGUCAUAUGUAGCUCCUUCGACGAGUCGAGUUGUUUGGGAAUGCAGCUCUAAGUGGGAGGUAAAUUUCUUCUAAGGCUAAAUAUAGGCCAGAGACCGAUAGCGAACAAGUAGAGUGAUCGAAAGAUGAAAAGCACUUUGAAAAGAGGGUUAAAAAGUACGUGAAAUUGUUGAAAGGGAAGCGCUUGCGGUUAGACUUGUCUAUGGUUGCUCAGCUUAUCCUCGUGAUGAGUGUAUUCAAUCACAGACAGGCCAACAUCAGUUUGGACGGCGGGAUAAUGGCUCAGAGAAUGUAGCUUUCUCUCGGGAAAGUGUUAUAGCUCUGGGUGUCAUGUCGCCAGUCUAGACUGAGGAUAGCGUCUUUUGGCUAGGAUGUUGGCGUAAUGGCCGUAAGCGACCCG